rnacentral:rRNA from 1 species
ACGGGAGGCAGCAGUGGGGAAUAUUGGGCAAUGGGCGCAAGCCUGACCCAGCAACGCCGCGUGAAGGAUGAAGGUCUUCGGAUUGUAAACUUCUUUAAUCGGGGAAGAAAAAAAUGACCUACCCGAAGAAUAAGCCACGGCUAACUACGUGCCAGCAGCCGCGGUAAUACGUAGGUGGCAAGCGUUAUCCGGAUUUACUGGGUGUAAAGGGAGCGUAGACGGAAGGCCAAGUCUGAUGUGAAAACCCAGGGCUCAACCCUGGGACUGCAUUGGAAACUGGUCAUCUAGAGUGCAGGAGGGGUAAGCGGAAUUCCUAGUGUAGCGGUGAAAUGCGUAGAUAUUAGGAGGAACACCAGUGGCGAAGGCGGCUUACUGGACUGUAACUGACGUUGAGGCUCGAAAGCGUGGGGAGCAAACAGGAUUAGAUACCCUGGUA